AAGGGAGUCCUCUCUGGGGUUCUUCAGAUAUCGUUGAAGACUCUUAGCAGGAUCCUUGUUAUCGUUUGAAAAGGUCAGGCCGUCUUGUUACGGCCCCAUUGUCGUGAGCUGUAAUAAUAAUAAUUAAAUCGGCGAGCAGCCUCAAUAGGUAUUCACAGCGUCACGCACACCCUGCCCUACCCAGCGCCGUCCCAUUCUUCACGUUCUGCGGUGGAAGAUCGAGAAGAUCAUGAACUUGAUCGGCGCCGGGAUCGACACGUCCAGCAGCGAGCAGAACCGGGCCGCUGAAGCAGUGGCUGUUGUCACUCAGGUACAGUGAGGAGCAGCUCGGGGCUCAGGGAGACUAUAGGUUAGGCCUGGACACUGGG
ensembl:lncRNA